rnacentral:tRNA from 1 species
GGACCGGUAGUUCAGCUGGUUAAGAAUGCCGCCCUGUCACGGCGAGGUCGCGGGUUCGAGUCCCGUCCGGUCCGCAA